GCUUGGAGAGGCAGCCAGUGAGAAGUGAUGCAAGCAUGGAGCAGGUCCGAUCCCGGGAGGGUCUGCACCUCCAUCUCUAUGAUUACAGUUGCAGAAAAUGCAUGGAAUGUGGUUAUGGUGCUGUCUGCAUUCAGAUGUAAUGCUGCUACAGAAAAACAUCAGUUGCAAUGGUGAAACUCAUUUGAAUCAAAGGUUCAAACUGGAUUUUGGCAAGGUAAACCUCAGGUCGCUUUUUCCUCGAAACCACAGUUGCACACAUUCGGAUGUUCACAAAUUCAAUCCUCUGCCCCAUUUAACUGUGGCUUCAUGUUACGUGCGAAUGCAGCCACCAACCAAGCAAGUUCAACCCAGCACCCCCUUCAGGACAAUAUCAGGAAAGGAAAGGCAGAGGUUUGAAACACCAUGCCUGUGACUGCCCAGAGGUCAGCCAAUUUCUUCAGAAAAGCCAGAUUGUCAUUCAAAGCGUCCCUUUAAUUAAGCGAUCAGACGAGCUAGAGCGUGAAUAACAACGUGCUAAUUCAUGCCUAACAAGUUAGGCAUCAGGCCAAGAAAGAGCCUCUUACUGCAAUUAAAAAAAUUCAUUAAAAU